GCCGUACAUGCAGUCGAGCGGAACGACACUAACAAUCCUUCGGGUGCGUUAAUGGGCGUCGAGCGGCGGACGGGUGAGUAAUGCCUAGGAAAUUGCCUUGAUGUGGGGGAUAACCAUUGGAAACGAUGGCUAAUACCGCAUGAUGCCUACGGGCCAAAGAGGGGGACCUUCGGGCCUCUCGCGUCAAGAUAUGCCUAGGUGGGAUUAGCUAGUUGGUGAGGUAAUGGCUCACCAAGGCGACGAUCCCUAGCUGGUCUGAGAGGAUGAUCAGCCACACUGGAACUGAGACACGGUCCAGACUCCUACGGGAGGCAGCAGUGGGGAAUAUUGCACAAUGGGCGAAAGCCUGAUGCAGCCAUGCCGCGUGUAUGAAGAAGGCCUUCGGGUUGUAAAGUACUUUCAGUUGUGAGGAAGGGUGUGUAGUUAAUAGCUGCNCAUCUUGACAUUAGCAACAGAAGAAUCACCGGCUAACUCCGUGCCANCAACCNCGGUAAUACUCUACGGUGCGAGCCUUAA
rnacentral:rRNA from 1 species